UAACAGGAAACAGCUUGCUGUUUCGCUGACGAGUGGCGGACGGGUGAGUAAUGUCUGGGAAACUGCCUGAUGGAGGGGGAUAACUACUGGAAACGGUAGCUAAUACCGCAUAACGUCGCAAGACCAAAGAGGGGGACCUUCGGGCCUCUUGCCAUCGGAUGUGCCCAGAUGGGAUUAGCUAGUAGGUGGGGUAACGGCUCACCUAGGCGACGAUCCCUAGCUGGUCUGAGAGGAUGACCAGCCACACUGGAACUGAGACACGGUCCAGACUCCUACGGGAGGCAGCAGUGGGGAAUAUUGCACAAUGGGCGCAAGCCUGAUGCAGCCAUGCCGCGUGUAUGAAGAAGGCCUUCGGGUUGUAAAGUACUUUCAGCGGGGAGGAAGGGAGUAAAGUUAAUACCUUUGCUCAUUGACGUUACCCGCAGAAGAAGCACCGGCUAACUCCGUGCCAGCAGCCGCGGUAAUACGGAGGGUGCAAGCGUUAAUCGGAAUUACUGGGCGUAAAGCGCACGCAGGCGGUUUGUUAAGUCAGAUGUGAAAUCCCCGGGCUCAACCUGGGAACUGCAUCUGAUACUGGCAAGCUUGAGUCUCGUAGAGGGGGGUAGAAUUCCAGGUGUAGCGGUGAAAUGCGUAGAGAUCUGGAGGAAUACCGGUGGCGAAGGCGGCCCCCUGGACGAAGACUGAC
rnacentral:rRNA from 1 species